rnacentral:rRNA from 1 species
AACGAACGCUGGCGGCAUGCCUUACACAUGCAAGUCGAACGGUAACAGGCCUUCGGAUGCUGACGAGUGGCGAACGGGUGAGUAAUACAUCGGAACGUGCCUAGUAGUGGGGGAUAACUACUCGAAAGAGUGGCUAAUACCGCAUGAGAUCUACGGAUGAAAGCAGGGGAUCGCAAGACCUUGUGCUACUAGAGCGGCCGAUGGCAGAUUAGGUAGUUGGUGGGAUAAAAGCUUACCAAGCCGACGAUCUGUAGCUGGUCUGAGAGGACGAUCAGCCACACUGGGACUGAGACACGGCCCAGACUCCUACGGGAGGCAGCAGUGGGGAAUUUUGGACAAUGGGCGAAAGCCUGAUCCAGCAAUGCCGCGUGCAGGAUGAAGGCCUUCGGGUUGUAAACUGCUUUUGUACGGAGCGAAAAGCCCCGGGUUAAUACCCUGGGGUCAUGACGGUACCGUAAGAAUAAGCACCGGCUAACUACGUGCCAGCCGCCGCCGUAAAAC